GUGCUCACUUCAGCAGCACAUAUACUAAAAUUGGAACGACACAGAGAAGAUCAGCGUGGACCCCGUACAAGGAUGACAUGGAAAUUUGUGAAGCGUUCCAUAUUAAA